GAGGGUAUAUCUCACUGGUAGAGUGUGGGCUUAGGAUGCAUGAGGUCCUGGGUUCAUUCCCCAGUACCUCCA
rnacentral:tRNA from 1 species